UGAAUAUUCCAAACUCAAAUGCAGUGCGUAAAUGUUCAGUAUUGAAAUCGGAGAUCAAACCUAAGAAAUUUUUUGAGAGUAAAUAAGCUGACAUAUGUGCAAUAUAAAAAAGACACUCUUCCUAUUAUGAGUGCAUGCUUACCGAUACGUAUGCUGCUGCUUGUGCCCUGGUUAGACUCAAAAUUAUAAGAAUCCAGCUGUGAAUAAGCCAUGGUUACUUUUACUGCACCACUAAAUAUCAAUGAAAACAAUAUUUAAAACGAUAGAUACUUUCGCCAGAUACAAAUGGUACUCCCGCACACGUGGAGAGCAUGGAAACAAC